GUCUUAUCUUAACAUCCCUCACCUCUGUGAACCGUUUGACCUCCGGGUCUAGCAAUACAAACAUCAGUGUAAUGAACGUCUUGUUAUCUUAACAAAACAAAACUUUUAACAACGGAUCUCUUGGCUCUCGCAUCGAUGAAGAACGCAGCGAAUUGCGAUAAGUAAUGUGAAUUGCAGAAUUCAGUGAAUCAUCGAAUCUUUGAACGCACCUUGCGCCUUUUGGUAUUCCGAAAGGCAUGCCUGUUUGAGUGUCAUGAAAUCUCAAUCCCAUCUGGUUUAUGAUCAGGUGUGGACUUGGACAUGGGCGUCUGCCGGUUACACGGCUCGCCUCAAAUGACUUAGUGGGAUCACUUGCAUCCGUGACAGACGUAAUAAGUUUCGUCUUGUCCCUUGCCUGUGUAAGCCUGCUCACAACCUGCCUUUGCGCAUUUUUUGACUCUGACCUCAAAUCAGGUAGGACUACCCGCUGAACUUAAGCAUAUCAAUAAGCGGAGGAAAAGAAACUAACAAGGAUUCCCCUAGUAACGGCGAGUGAACCGGGAAAAGCUCAAAUUUGAAAUCUGGCGUGCUCAGUGCGUCCGAGUUGUAAUCUAUAGAGGCGUUUUCCGUGCUGGACCGUGUCCAAGUCCCUUGGAACAGGGUAUCAAAGAGGUGACAAUCCCGUACUUGACACGACGACCCAGUGCUUUUGUGAUACGUCUUGUACGAGUCGAGUUGUUUGGGAAUGCAGCUCAAAAUGGGUGGUGAGUUCCAUCUAAAGCUAAAUAUUGGCGAGAGACCGAUAGCGAACAAGUACCGUGAGGGAAAGAUGAAAAGCACUUUGGAAAGAGAGUUAAACAGUACGUGAAAUUGUUAAAAGGGAAACGAUUGAAGUCAGUCGUGACCGAGAGGCUCAGCUGGCUCUGCCAGUGUAUUCCCCUCGGUCGGGUCAACAUCAGUUUUGUCCGGUGGAUAAGGGCGGUAGGAAGGUGGCACCCUCGGGUGUGUUAUAGCCUGCCGUCGCAUACAUCGGGUGAGACUGAGGAAUGCAGCUCGCCUUUAUGGCCGGGGUUCGCCCACGUCCGAGCUUAGGAUGUUGACAUAAU
rnacentral:rRNA from 1 species